rnacentral:tRNA from 1 species
GCGGGUAUCGUAUAGCGGCAUUACACCACCCUUCCAAGGUGGAUACACGGGUUCGAGUCCCGUUACCCGCU